CAGGCCUAACACAUGCAAGUCGAACGGUGAUGCGGAGCUUGCUCCGCGGAUCAGUGGCGAACGGGUGAGUAACACGUGAGUAACCUGCCCUUGACUCUGGGAUAAGCGUUGGAAACGACGAUAAAUACCGGAUAGAAUUUCCACAGGCAACUGUGGGGGUGGAAAGAUUUUUCGGGACAUGGAUGGACACGCGGCCGAUCAGCUUGUUGUAGGUUGAUGGCCGACCAAGGCGACGACGGUGAGCCGGCUUGAGAGGGUGACCGGCCACACUGGGACAGAGACACGGCCCGCCGACUAACGGGAGGCACCAGAGGGGAAGAUAGCACAAGGGGCGAAAAGCCUGAUGCAGCAACGCCGCGGGAGGGAUAGACGGCCUUACGGGUUAGAAACCGAUUGAAGCAGGGAAGAAAGCGAAAGUGACGGGAACCUGCAGAAAAGCUACCGGCGAAGCACGUGCCAGCAGCCGCGG
rnacentral:rRNA from 1 species